rnacentral:rRNA from 1 species
GAUGAACGCUGGCGGCGUGCCUAAUACAUGCAAGUCGAGCGAACGGACGAGAAGCUUGCUUUUCUGAUGUUAGCGGCGGACGGGUGAGUAACACGUGGAUAACCUACCUAUAAGACUGGGAUAACUUCGGGAAACCGGAGCUAAUACCGGAUAAUAUUUUGAACCGCAUGGUUCAAAAGUGAAAGACGGUCUUGCUGUCACUUAUAGAUGGAUCCGCGCCGCAUUAGCUAGUUGGUAAGGUAACGGCUUACCAAGGCAACGAUGCAUAGCCGACCUGAGAGGGUGAUCGGCCACACUGGAACUGAGACACGGUCCAGACUCCUACGGGAGGCAGCAGUAGGGAAUCUUCCGCAAUGGGCGAAAGCCUGACGGAGCAAUGCCGCGUGAGUGAUGAAGGUCUUCGGAUCGUAAAACUCUGUUAUUAGGGAAGAACAUAUGUGUAAGUAACUGUGCACAUCUUGACGGUACCUAAUCAGAAAGCCACGGCUAACUACGUG